rnacentral:lncRNA from 1 species
CUCGAGCCAGCCUCUUCAGCAUGGAGAAGUCAGGCAGCUCAGGGGCGUCCGGCCGAUGGGGAAAAGCCAUGGCAGCGGUCACCUGCGCCGCGGGGUGGAAGGACGCCCUUCGUUCUGAGAAGGCCGGCCGCAGCCCAGGGAAGCGCAAGGGGGGCUAUCCUUCAGGCCUGGGCACCGACUUCCAGAGACCCCAGAUGGGCCCUCGCUCCUCAGCAGCACUCCAGGAAUGAAUGGCCACCUCCAGGCAAGAGAGCUACUACCUCGGAGCAGCCUUGUCUCAGACCUGCAGCCACCGUGUCUCGACCCUCCCUCCCUGAUCCACUCUGCCCGUCAGCAGGAUUCCGGUCUACACCCCGCAGAGACUCCGCAGCGUACGAGGAGAACCCCGCCUUCUACCAGAAAAAGAAGCGACUUCCUAGAUCUCCCGGAAGUCCCUUUCGCUCCCAGCGCUUCGCGUACCAGGAAGGGGACGGCGUCCUGAAAGGGACAUUUGAAAAACGGAGGCAACGCGUCUAUUAAUUAGGUGGCGGCGCCUGGGGUCGCAGCACUCCAGAGGCUGAGAGUCUCGCCCUUUUGCCUAGUGGAGGAGCUCGGCUCACUGCAAGCUCCGCGCCACAACCCCCCUGCCGCCCCAGGUUCAAGAGAUUCUCCUGCCUCAGUCUCCCGAGUAGACUGGGAUUACAGGCGAGUGCCACCAUGCCCGGCUAAUUUUUGUAUUUUUGGUAGAGACGGGGUUUCAUUAUGUUGGCCAGGCUGAUCUCGAACUCCUGACCUCAAGUGAUCCGCCUGCCUUGGCCUCCCAAAGUGCUGGGAUUACAGGCGUGAGCCACAACGUUGGGCCAGGUAUUGUAUUUCUAUGUUAUUAUUAUUUUUUGUAUUUCUAUGUCAUACAGGCUUGUAUUUCUGUUAAAAACAAGUCCUUAUCUCUUUGAGAUACAUACUGAAGUUUUUACAGGUGAAAUAAUUUGGCCAGGAGUAAUGGUUCAUGUCUCUAAUUCCCACCACUUUGGGAGGUCCAGGUCGGGGUCGGGGGGUUGCUUGAGGCCAGGAGUUUGAGAUAAGAUUGGUCAACUACAACACAUAAAAAAUAGCCAGGCAUGGUGGUGGGCACCUUUAAUCUCGAUACUUGGGAGGCUGAGGCAGGAGGAUCACUUGAGCCCAGGAGUUUGAGGCUGCAGUGCGCUACGAUCAUGCUACAGCACCCCAGCCUGGGCAACAGAUUCUAGGACAAGGAGACUGGCUUUCACAGAGGUUCGGGUUGGGUUCAGUUUUCUUCAGAAGAACUUCAGAAUGCACUACAACAGGAAAAUCAUAUUCUAGAUGGAGUCAAGUCAAUCUGUUUGUAUACCAGAUACAUCUAUGAUAUACAUGCAGCUACUAUCUGAUUAUGUAUCAAUUAAAUAGAUCAUAAAUGUGGAACGAUGGGGACUUUGAGAGAUUUGUAACUGAAGCUGCCUUCAUGCUUGUUAGAAUGCUGGGGUGGAAGAGUUCCCAGUUUUAAAGGAGAAGUACAAGAAGACCUGUAAUUGUUAGCAAGAUAUACAGAACACAGUGCACACAGCAGCGCACUUCUCAAGUCAGCUCCAGGUUCAAGCUCAAAGGCCUAAAGUUUUGCAAACAUCUGGUGAAGAGGAAGAUUUUUGAGACUCUCCCAGCCUAUUACAUAAAGGAAACAUAACCGAGAAUUUUGUCUAAAGGUUUUCAUUUGAAACAAAGCAAGAGCUUCUUUUCCCCACUCCGAAUUAAAACACAGCGCAACAGGGGCCACAUUUAUUUGGCAGGACAGUACCAAUAUGUGAACAUCCUCCUCCUCACUGCCGUUGGGGUGACUUGACUCAUAAGCAGCUGUUCUUACACAAAAUAUUAACCCGAACUGCUAGUGUCACACAGAAGGAAGUGGUCUUGAUUGUGUAUGUGGGCCAGCAUGUUCUACAAAUGCUGAAAGGUGGGAGAAGCACAAAUACAACCCACUCUUUAAAAAAACUAAAUAAUUCAAAGUAAAAUUUUCUAUCCCCGCCCCCUCCCCACCCUUGCCUUCUCCAAUAAUAAAAAGUAGAAUCCAG